GAAGAACCUGCACGUGUGAAGAAGAACUUGCUCGAUGGGAUUCCAACGAAGAACUUCGACAAGAGCCCCGUGUGCGAGGGAACGAGCUCAGCGAGCUGAUGAGGGUCUUCGACACGUUCUUAGUUCUUAGUUGGAUCUCUUAGAACAGUUGACGUCAAGCAGCUCCACAGACAUGGGUUACGUUAGUGAUGGGGAAGUGGAGAAGGCAACGAUACGUGAGCAGCU